rnacentral:rRNA from 1 species
AGUGAACGCUGGCGGUAGGCCUAACACAUGCAAGUCGAACGGCAGCACAGUAAGAGCUUGCUCUUACGGGUGGCGAGUGGCGGACGGGUGAGGAAUACAUCGGAAUCUACUUUUUCGUGGGGGAUAACGUAGGGAAACUUACGCUAAUACCGCAUACGACCUACGGGUGAAAGCAGGGGAUCUUCGGACCUUGCGCGAUUGAAUGAGCCGAUGUCGGAUUAGCUAGUUGGCGGGGUAAAGGCCCACCAAGGCGACGAUCCGUAGCUGGUCUGAGAGGGAGAUCAGCCACACUGUGACUGAGACACGGUCCACACUCCUACGGGAGGCAGCAGUGGGGAAUAUUGGACGAUGGACGCAAGCCUGAUCCAGCAAUACCGCGUGGGUGAAGAAGGCCUUCGGGUUGUAAAGCCCUUUUGUUGGGAAAGAAAAGCAGCAGGUUAAUACCCCGCUGUUCUGACGGUACCCAAAGAGUAAGCACCGGCUAACUUCGUG